UACGAAGGGGGCUAGCGUUGCUCGGAAUCACUGGGCGUAAAGCGCACGUAGGCGGAUCUUUAAGUCAGGGGUGAAAUCCCGAGGCUCAACCUCGGAACUGCCUUUGAUACUGGGGAUCUCGAGUCCGGAAGAGGUUGGUGGAACUGCGAGUGUAGAGGUGAAAUUCGUAGAUAUUCGCAAGAACACCAGUGGCGAAGGCGGCCAACUGGUCCGGUACUGACGCUGAGGUGCGAAAGCGUGGGGAGCAAACAGG
rnacentral:rRNA from 1 species